rnacentral:rRNA from 1 species
UACGGAGGGUGCAAACGUUGCUCGGAAUCAUUGGGCGUAAAGCGCACGUAGGCGGCCUGUUAAGUCGGGGGUGAAAGCCCGAGGCUCAACCUCGGAACUGCCUUCGAUACUGCGGGUCUCGAGUCCGGGAGAGGUGAGUGGAAUUCCUAGUGUAGAGGUGAAAUUCGUAGAUAUUAGGAAGAACACCAGUGGCGAAGGCGGCUCACUGGCCCGGUACUGACGCUGAGGCGCGAAAGCGUGGGGAGCAAACAGGG